UGUUGGAUGGGCAAAAUGGCAGAUAUAUCUUUCCACUCCAUUUGAUGAAUACUGGUUCUCUAUGUUUUGUUUGGCGUUCCUUCAUGGAUAGGCAAAAUGGCAAAUACACCUUUCCACUCCAUUUGAUCACUUGUGCGAAAGUCACCUGGACAGAAACCAACACGGUCGAGUGUCUACUCGAGCGUGUUGUCCCUUCAUUCCUGCAAAAUAUUUGUGUGAUCAUGCCUUGGGAAACACACAAUGUUUGCUUGAAGGGGAUUAAUAUCUACCAUUUUGGCAAUGUCAAGUAGUGUUCAAGGACCAAUUAUAAACAUCUAACUGUGCAUUUGCCCUCUUUCGCUGCAUAGUUUGAUGUGUUAUUUGGCGAUAAAAUGUUACUGUUAAACAUUUCCUACUGGUUUGAAGGCUUUUUUGUUCGUUGUGGCAAAAAUAACAGGCUUUCUAACGUAGUUACCGUUUAGUAGUCUUGUAACAUGGCUUCAUGUGCCGAUAGUGAAACUUUUUGGAACAAUUCUGUAAUAUGUCCCUGAAUAGUAACAACUUACAAGUCUGUCUGUUACUUGGCCUUAAAGCCUUGAAGGAGAUUCUAUGCGAGAUUAUUGUACUUGGGGUAAGUCUAAACCAGAUUAUUCUACCAUGUAACAGAUAUUAUGAAAGUUCAGAGUUUCUGUAGCA